rnacentral:rRNA from 1 species
CUACGGGCAUCUGCAGUGGGGAAUAUUGGACAAUGGGCGAAAGCCUGAUCCAGCCAUGCCGCGUGUGUGAAGAAGGCCUUCGGGUUGUAAAGCACUUUCAGUGGGGAAGAAAGCCUUGGGGCUAAUACCCUCGAGGAAGGACAUCACCCACAGAAGAAGCACCGGCUAACUCCGUGCCAGCAGCCGCGGUAAUACGGAGGGUGCGAGCGUUAAUCGGAAUUACUGGGCGUAAAGCGCGCGUAGGCGGUCUGAUAAGCCGGUUGUGAAAGCCCCGGGCUCAACCUGGGAACGGCAUCCGGAACUGUCAGGCUAGAGUGCAGGAGAGGAAGGUAGAAUUCCCGGUGUAGCGGUGAAAUGCGUAGAGAUCGGGAGGAAUACCAGUGGCGAAGGCGGCCUUCUGGACUGACACUGACGCUGAGGUGCGAAAGCGUGGGUAGCAAACAGGAUUAGAUACCCCGGUAGUC